rnacentral:misc_RNA from 1 species
AAAAGCUGAGGAACUUUCUAAUUUUGUUUUAUUUUGCAUAAUUUCAAGUGGCUUCCUAUUCUUUUUCUUGUUUUUUUCCCCUUCUUUGGUUGAUGAUGAAGUAGAUGAGCAACGCAAAUACACGUUUUAGUUUACGGUUUUGUUGCUUCUACAGCUACUUGUCAAAGCAAGAGUUGGCAGGCUUGCUUCUCUGCUUUCAAACAAAAAAGGUUCCAUGAAAACAAAAAUUGCUUUGCUUUGCCUUUUUUUGUCUUCUUCUAUGGGGAUCUGGACGUGUGUCCGGGAAUACUUCGCUGAUUUUCGUUAGUUCUUUUGGAUUAAAAGGUGUUUUUUUUUUCGUGGGU